rnacentral:tRNA from 1 species
GCAUCCGUAGCUCAGCUGGAUAGAUCAGCUGGAUAGAGUACUCGGCUACGAACCGAGCGGUCGGAGGUUCGAAUCCUCCCGGAUGCACCA